rnacentral:rRNA from 1 species
GGAAUAUUGGGCAAUGGGCGCAAGCCUGACCCAGCGACGCCGCGUGAGGGAUGAAGGCCUUCGGGUUGUAAACCUCUUUCAGUAGGGAAGAAGCGAAAGUGACGGUACCUAAAGAAGAAGCACCGGCUAACUAUGUGCCAGCAGCCGCGGUAAUACAUAGGGUGCAAGCGUUGUCCGGAAUUAUUGGGCGUAAAGAGCUCGUAGGUCGUUUGACACGUCGAUUGUGAAAAUCUGAGGCUCAACCUCAGACCUGCAGUCGAUACGGUCAAACUAGAGUGUGGUAGGGGAGACUGGAAUUCCUGGUGUAGCGGUGGAAUGCGCAGAUAUCAGGAGGAACACCAAUGGCGAAGGCAGGUCUCUGGGCCAUAACUGACACUGAGGAGCGAAAGCGCGGGGAGCGAACAGGAUUAGAUACCCUGGUAGUCCGCGCCGUAAACGGUGGGCACUAGCUGUGGGUCCCUUCCACGGGAUCCGCGACGCAGCAAACGCAUUAAGUGCCCCGCCUGGGGAGUACGAUCGCAAGAUUAAAACUCAAAUGAAUUGACGG